AUUGAACGCUGGCGGCAGGCCUAACACAUGCAAGUCGAGCGGAGCGGCGGACGGGUGAGUAAUGCCUAGGAAUCUGCCUGGUAGUGGGGGAUAACGUCCGGAAACGGGCGCUAAUACCGCAUACUAUCAGAUGAGCCUAGGUCGGAUUAGCUAGUUGGGGGGGUAAAGGCCUACCAAGGCGACGAUCCGUAACUGGUCUGAGAGGAUGAUCAGUCAAACUGGAAAUGAGAAAAGGUCCAGACUCCUAAGGGAGGCAACAGUGGGGGAUAUUGGACAAAGGGCGGAAGGCUGGUCCAGCCAUGCCGCGGGUGUGGAGGAGGUCUUCGGGUUGUAAAGCACUUUAAGUUGGGAGGCGUUACCAACACAAUAAGCACCGGCUAAAUUCGUGCCAGCAGCCGCGGUAAUUCC
rnacentral:rRNA from 1 species